GAUGAAACGCUGGACGGCGUUGCUUAACACAUGCAAGUCGAACGAAGAUGCCGGAGUGCUUGCACUUUGGCAGACUGAGUGGCGACGGGUGAGUAACGCGUGGGUAACCUGCCUUAUACAGGGGGAUAACAGUUGGAAACGACUGCUAAUACCGCAUAAGCGCACGGUAUCGCAUGAUACAGUGUGAAAAAACUCCGGUGGUAUAAGAUGGACCCGCGUCUGAUUAGCUUGUUGGUGAGGUAACGGCCCACCAAGGCGACGAUCAGUAGCCGGCCUGAGAGGGUGAACGGCCACAUUGGGACUGAGAUACGGCCCAGACUCCUACGGGAGGCAGCAGUCGGGAAUAUUGCGCAAUGGAGGAAACUCUGACGCAGUGACGCCGCGUAUAGGAAGAAGGUUUUCGGAUUGUAAACUAUUGUCGUUAGGGAAGAUACAAGACAGUACCUAAGGAGGAAGCUCCGGCUAACUACGUG
rnacentral:rRNA from 1 species